GCUGCUGGAAGCCUUUUUUCACCCACACUGUUGUACUGAAGUUUUGACCUCCACUAGAGGGCGACAUUAUCAAGUAGGCGGUGCACUACUUCUGCACUGUGUUCAACCAUUGUGUCAAUAAUAACUGCUGCUGUGAAGAGAACAAUUCUCAGACUGAAUGUUGAACAGCAGCUAGUUUCUCCUAUUGAUUUAAACCUUGUUGUAGAGAUGGAACAUUGGCUGUGGAUUAUUCUUGCUGCUCUUUUCUUUGAGUGUAAAGGAGAAGAGAGUGUGAUCCAGCCAACAGGAGAUGUCAUUGCUACUGAAGGAGACACAGUUACACUUGGCUGUACAUUUGAUACCAGUUACACAGGUCUCACUUUGUUCUGGUACAAACAGGAUGGAAACAGCAGCCCCAAAUUCAUACUGAGCCGAAUUAAACGGGACGAAGGGAUCACACCAGACGAGUUUAAGGAGAGAUUUUCAUCCACACUGGAUUCCACCUUAAAAUCAGUUCCUCUGAAGAUCCAGAAGCUUCAGCUGUCUGACUCUGCUGUGUACUACUGUGCUCUUCAGCCCACAGUGACAGGAAACACCAAGACUCUGUACAAAAACCUUAGGAGAAAAGACAACAUAAUACUCCACAACGUCCACUAGAGGGAGUCACACACUGUUAAUCAGAAUCAGAAAUACUUUAUUGAUCUAUUUAUGAUUGGUGAUAGGUUGUUUAGUUUAGUUUCCUUCUUUUUCUAGCUUUCUUUAUGACUCAUUGAAUUCUUUCUUUGUAAAACUGAAACAAAAUAUAUAAACCACAGACUGUAUGAAAUAUAAGUGUGGUGGGUCCUGCCAUGCAGUGCCUGACACUGCCGCCUCCCAGCUAAUACUAAAGUGGGUGGAUGGGUGGAGCUAAGGUUGGCCGAAUGAAGCCUGGUUGCUGAAACCAGCCACCUGUGAAUUAAAGCAGCCACGCUCUUAAUUAUGCAUAACUUUAAGUCUUAAUAUCUUAAUAUAAUAUAAACGGGUGAGUUAUAUAAAAAUUCACCCCCUCACAGUUGUCAUGAAGGGGGGAAUUAGCUUUAGAGGCCAAAAACCAUCUUUUGUACCAGGUUGUAAACAUGUUUAUUUCUGCUGUAAAGUUGGACAUUUUUUACAUGGGGGUCUAUGGGGAUUGACUCACUUUUGGAGCAUCAAAUGGCCAUUGGAGGAACUGCAGGUUUUGGCACUUGGGAGGAUGCCGCUUGAGAUAUACAAUAUACAGCUGAGUACAAUUAGUUGUCUGCGUGGUUAU